AGAGUUUGAUCAUGGCUCAGGACGAACGCUGGCGGCGUGCUUAACACAUGCAAGUCGAGCGGUAAGGCCUUUCGGGGUACACGAGCGGCGAACGGGUGAGUAACACGUGGGCGACCUGCCCUCAGCUUCGGGAUAAGCCUGGGAAACUGGGUCUAAUACCGGAUAUGACCUUUCCUCGCAUGGGGUUUGGUGGAAAGUUUUUCGGCUGGGGAUGGGCCCGCGGCCUAUCAGCUUGUUGGUGGGGUGAUGGCCUACCAAGGCGACGACGGGUAGCCGGCCUGAGAGGGCGACCGGCCACACUGGGACUGAGAUACGGCCCAGACUCCUACGGGAGGCAGCAGUGGGGAAUAUUGCGCAAUGGGCGAAAGCCUGACGCAGCGACGCCGCGUGGGGGAUGACGGCCUUCGGGUUGUAAACCUCUUUCGACCGGGACGAAGAGAGAUUGACGGUACCGGUAGAAGAAGCACCGGCCAACUACGUGCCAGCAGCCGCGGUAAUACGUAGGGUGCGAGCGUUGUCCGGAAUUAUUGGGCGUAAAGAGCUCGUAGGCGGUGUGUCACGUCGAUCGUGAAAACCUACAGCUUAACUGUGGGCGUGCGGUCGAUACGGGCAUCACUGGAGUUCGGCAGGGGAGACUGGAAUUCCUGGUGUAGCGGUGAAAUGCGCAGAUAUCAGGAGGAACACCGGUGGCGAAGGUGGGUCUCUGGGCCGAUACUGACGCUGAGGAGCGAAAGCGUGGGGAGCGAACAGGAUUAGAUACCCUAGUAGUCC
rnacentral:rRNA from 1 species